GAAUUUUGGACAAUGGGCGAAAGCCUGAUCCAGCAAUGCCGCGUGCAGGACGAAGGCCUUCGUGUUGUAAACUGCCUUUGUACGGCACGAAAAGCUUUGGGUUAAUACCCUGGAGUCAGUGAGGUACCGUCAGCAUAAGCACCGGCGAACAACGCGCGCUCACCCGCGGUAAUACGUAGGGUGCAAGCGUUAAUCGGAAUUACUGGGCGUAAAGCGUGCGCAGGCGGUUUUGUAAGACAGAGGUGAAAUCCCCGGGCUCAACCUGGGAACUGCCUUUGUGACUGCAAGGCUAGAGUACGGCAGAGGGGGGUGGAAUUCCGCGUGUAGCAGUGAAAUGCGUAGAUAUGCGGAGGAACACCGAUGGCGAAGGCAACCCCCUGGGCCUGUACUGACGCUCAUGCACGAAAGCGUGGGGAGCAAACAGG
rnacentral:rRNA from 1 species